rnacentral:rRNA from 1 species
UACAGAGGGUGCGAGCGUUGUCCGGAAUCGCUGGGCGUAAAGGGCGCGUAGGUGGUGGCUUAAGCGUGCGGUGAAAGCUCGGGGGCUCAACCCCGAGUCGGCCGUGCGAACUGGGCUCACUGGAGCAUAGUAGAGGCAGGUGGAAUUCCGGGUGUAGCGGUGGAAUGCGUAGAGAUCGGAAAGAACACCAACGGCGAAAGCACUCUGCUGGGCCGACACUGACACUGAGAGACGAAAAGCUAGGGGGAGCGAAUGGG